CGCGUGGUUCUAUUUUGUUGGUUUUAAGAACCGCCGUAAUGAUUAAUAGGGACAGUCGGGGGCAUCUGUAUUCAAUUGUCAGAGGUGAAAUUCUUGGAUCAAUUGAAGACAAACUACUGCGAAAGCAUUUGCCAAGGAUGUUUUCAUUGAUAAGGAACGAAAGUUAGGGGAUCGAAGACGAUCAGAUACCGUCGUAGUCUUAACUAUAAACUUUGCCGACUAGGGAUCGGACGAUGUUAUUUACUGACUCGUUCGGCACCUUUCGAGAAAUCAAAGUGCUUGGGCUCCAGGGGGAGUAUGGUCGCAAGGCUGAAACUUAAAGAAAUUGACGGAAGGGCACCACCAGGGGUGGAACCUGCGGCUUAAUUUGACUCAACACGGGGAAACUCACCAGGUCCAGACACAGUGAGGAUUGACAGAUUGAUAGCUCUUUCUUGAUUCUGUGGGUGGUGGUGCAUGGCCGUUCUUAGUUGGUGGAGUGAUUUGUCUGCUUAAUUGCGAUAACGAACGAGACCUUAACCUGCUAAAUAGCCCGUAUUGCUCCGGCAGUACGCUGGCUUCUUAGAGGGACUAUCGGCUCAAGCCGAUGGAAGUUUGAGGCAAUAACAGGUCUGUGAUGCCCUUANAUGUCCUGGGCCGCACGCGCGUUACACUGACAGGGCCAGCGAGUUUUCCCUUUGCCGGAAGGNCUGGGUAAUCUUGNUAAACCCUGNCGUGC
rnacentral:rRNA from 1 species